rnacentral:lncRNA from 1 species
AUAAAUAUUUUUUGUAUAAAAGUAUAAAUUUUUUUGUUAAAUGUAAAUAUGAUUAAAACAUAUUAGGUAUAAAAUUAUUUAUUUUUAAUAAGGUUAUUGUAUAGGCUAACCGAAAUUUGAAACGAGCCUCAAUGGCUUCGAGUUCAAUUUUGUUUGGUUUUAGAAUUUUUUUUCAUUUUAUUAUAUAUUAGGUAUAAAAUUAUUUAUUUUUAAUAAGGUUAUUGUAUAGGCUAACCGAAAUUUGAAACGAGCCUCAAUGGCUUCGAGUUCAAUUUUGUUUGGUUUUAGAAUUUUUUUUCAUUUUAUUAUGAAUGGAAAAUUCUAAUAAAAAAUCCUAUAAGUCAAACACACGUGUCAAUGUUUUCG